UUCACUGGCCUGUGCCCAGAGCAAAAGCUCCCGCUGGAGCUGCUCUUAUAGACCAAUACCUUUUUGCAGUCUUCUUGACAACAACUUAUCUGGGUAUUUUGCGCCAGAGUUCUCGGAGUUGCCAAGCUUAUUAAUAUUUCAAGUUGACAACAACAACUUUGGUGGGACUACAAUUCCAGAUUCGUAUAGCAACAUGUCUAAACUGUUCAAGUUGAGUUUGAGGAAUUGCAACUUACAAUGGCCUAUUCCUGAUUUCAGUAGGAUUCCAAACCUUGGUUAUGCACAGGUUCAAGUUUAAUUGUGUAAAAAAUGGAGAGAUUGAUCGCCGUCACGCAUACCUGCGUUUCAGGAAACAAGUCAAGAUGGGACACCUAUCUGGGCAAUGUUGGGAUGUCUAGGCUUGGGUGGAGACGUGGACUUAUGGAAGUGGUCAAUCAAGCAGAUAAGAUUUGGAAAGAAAACUCCACCUCUGUUGCCAGCAAUGCUCAUGGGGAGAAGUAUAGGAAACCAAAGCCUACAAAUCUGAAGCCUUUUAGGUUUAGAACUGAUGAAAGAGGGAUGUUUAAGGAAGCAACUUUGGAGGAAAAAGCUCAUGCACCACUGAAGGAGAUCACAUUAGUCAUGACUCCAGGAGCAAAGUCAACAAGCAACCAUCAUAAUGUAAUACAGGCAAAACAUUGGAGCAGUUGGUCAUAUUUAGAAGAGCAAACGAGGAUGGAGUUCUUGGUGUUGCAUGAAGUUGAUGUGCAUUAGAUGGACAUCCAUCCCGUCUCCAAUGGAAGAAAUUUGAUGUCACCAUCUUCAGCUUUCCUCAUGCAGGCCAUUACUCUUGGCUAAGUGAAAAGUACUCGGACCUUAUUGAUUAUUCUAGGACUUUGUCAACCACGUGGAGUUCUCUUCACAGCGCACCACUACCGUGCAGCAUAGCUCGAUAGCAGUUUUGGGUGAGUCUCAAUUGCCCAGUACAUAUGAUUUUACUUUUGUUUGUUCAUCUUCCUUCGAAUUUGUGUGCAAAUAUUUUUGAAGGCCAGGCGAUUCAAAAUUUAAAUUUAUGUGUAAAUUGUUGAAGUGUGGGUGUAGACACCCAAUAUGAUUUUUACAUGGUGUUGCUAUCUGGUUUAGGACAAAAUUAUUGGGGACUGUCUAAAUUUUGGUUUAGCUGCAGAUGAAGCGAGAUCAAAAGGUUAUAAAUUAGAGGUAUAAUUUAAUUUUUGUAUUUGAUGCAGCGUUGAAUUAAAGAAUACAGUAGGAACACUGACUUGACGUAUGUGCUUUUGUUUCAUUUUAUAUAAUGGAAAUCUGAAUUCUGUGUUUAUGAGUGUGUAUACUCAGUACUUAUUUUAAUUACAGUUAAAGUGAUUGAAAAUUAUUGAGAAUUAGUAUUAAGUUUACAUACCGAAAGAAAUAGAUCAAAAAUAGCAUUAUUUGGUGGUAAGGUAAAUUUGGUUUCAAUUAAAGGAUGGCAGGAGGAGAAGGAGGAAGACCUUUGGAGCAAACACCAACUUGGGCCGUUGUCGAUGUUUGUUUUUUUUCGGUUAUGAUUUUGGUUUCGAUCCACAUCGAAUAUUUCAUUCAUUUAAUUGGAAAGGUUUCCUUUCACAUGUAAUUAGGUUAAUUUCACCUUAUGAAGUCAUUUUCGGGUUUAUUAUGAAUGCGAAGAGGUAUUUUGAUUAAAUUUUAAUUGCAAUCCUUCCGGUGGUUGCCAAAGAGAAACAAAAGAGCUCUCUAUGAAGCUCUUGAGAAUAUCAAAGCGGAGCUUAUGCUAUUAGCCAUUAGGGCUCUUAUAUUUGCUUCUAACAGUAGGACAAAACCGCAUUUUAGAUAUAUGUACAUCGAAGGCUGUUGGAGCAACUUGGCAUCCAUGCAAUAACAAGCAAUAUGUCAGAUCAGACAAAGGCAAAGAUAAGAGUAGUGCUUCAGAUGACAACUCCCGCAGAAGGCUUCUCUCAGCCUUGGAUUCCAGUAGGGGGUGGCCGAUGUGAGCUACUAGAUAUGACAAAUGUGCAACCAAGGUACACUGAAUUGUCCGUACUUUUAGU